UACGUAGGGUGCAAGCGUUGUCCGGCCUUCUUUUUCUUAAAUAUCUCUUAGGCGGUUUGUCGCGUCUGCUGUGAAAAUCCAGGGCUUAACCCUGGACCUGCAGUGGGUACGGGCAGACUGGAGUGCGGUAGGGGAGAUCGGAAUUCCUGGUGUAGCGGUGAAAUGCGCAGAUAUCGUAAGGAACGCCAGUGGCGAAAGCGAGUCUCUGGGCAGCAUCUGACACUGAGGCACGAAGGCCAGGGGAGCAAACGGG
rnacentral:rRNA from 1 species